rnacentral:rRNA from 1 species
UACGAAGGGGGCUAGCGUUGCUCGGAUUCAUUGGGCGUAAAGGGUGCGUAGGCGGCGCGGUAAGUCGGGUGUGAAAUCUCGGAGCUUAACUCCGAAACUGCAUUCGAUACUGCCGUGCUUGAGGACUGGAGAGGAGACUGGAAUUUACGGUGUAGCGGUGAAAUGCGUAGAUAUCGUAAGGAAGACCAGUGGCGAAGGCGGGUCUCUGGACAGUUCCUGACGCUGAGGCACGAAGGCCAGGGGAGCAAACAGG